rnacentral:lncRNA from 1 species
GAAUGUGACACUUUUUGAGGUCUGACAUGAUUCCACAAGUGGAAAAUUUCAUAUCUGACCUUAUGUGAUGAAUUACAGUCGAAAUGCAGUCAAAAAUUAUUUUCAUAAACCAAAUUAUUAAAAACAUAUAUAAAAUUACAUUCAGGCUAUAUAUAUUAAACAAUUAUAUUCAGGCUAUUUAUAUAUUAUGUAUAUGAAACAUAAGUACAUUUUUUGUUUAGACUUGGGUUCCUUCCCCAAGAUAUAAUCUAAAUGCUCUCUAGUUAAAAUUAAACUCUCCCUUCCUCACACCUACAUUAAAUUUCAUUUGUAUAUGAAUUAUAAUUCUUGCCAUAACCUGCUUU